GCUAAAGUUCAUUGACACUGGAUUAGCUGGAGUUGCAGGUGUGAAUAGGGGCCUCCGGAUGGUAUACCUACAAAAAGUUCGAACCAAAAAUUAUUCUGGUGGAGAUCCUCCGACACUCAAGUUAGCUAGCAGAACCAACAGAUAGAGAAGUGUGGGGCUUGGAAUUGUUGCAUACAUAGAGUCCCUCUUUUUGUCUCCUUUUAUAGAUGGAGGUUAAAGUCAUAGUCGGCAGAUGGGCU
rnacentral:lncRNA from 1 species